CGCAAGCAACCAAGUAUGAGUCCACCUCACGCAGCGCUCCUCUUGCUCUUCAUCCUAGCGUACUUCCGCGGUGCCUACUCCAGUGGCAGCCGGAGCCGUUUCACAUCCAUAAUCAGCUUCGGUGACUCCUUCGCCGACACCGGUAAUUUGGUCAUGUGGGCUGAUCCCGUCCUUCCGGGUCUAGUACUCAAGAACCUCCCCUACAGCGAGACCUUCUUCGGCCACCCCACCGGACGUGCCACCGACGGCCGCCUUGUGCUGGACUUCAUCGCCGAAGCUCUGGGUCUGCCUUUCGUGCCGCCGUGCUCACAAAGGGGGGCAUCUUCCCACUUGGCUGCGUACCCACAGUACUCACAAAGCUUGCUAGCCCAAACAAGGUGGAUUACUAUCGGAACGGAUGCCUGAAGAGUGCGAACAGGCUGGGGCGCUACCACAACUCUCUCCUCCGCCAGCGGAUCAAACUGCUCCGGCACAAGUACCCCCAUGCGAAGAUCAUUGCCGCUGAGUACUACCGACCCGUCCUUGCAUGUCUAGAUAUGCAGGGGCAUUUUGGACUGAACAGCAACACAACCCUCCUCACCUGUUGUGGUGCCGGAGGACCUCCUUAUAACUACGACUUCAACUCGGAGUGCGGGUGGCCAGGUGUGAUGGCGUGUGCAGAUCCAUCUCAGGCCCUUCAAUGGGAUGGUUUCCACCUCACGGAGUCUGCCUACAGGGCCGGUGCUGAUUGGUGCACUAGUAGAAAAAGGGCCUUUAGUCCCGGUUUAUAAGGGCCUUUAGUUCCGGUU